UAGCGCUUUCAAAGAGCGUAAUGGCCUGAUUCAUGGUAUUGAUCACACAGCUGGCUCAGGAGCUGAUUGGAGGUUGGGAGGGACCCCGAGUGAGCUCUUUCUACAUCUCUUCAGUACACAAUUCAUUUGGACAGUGUGCCAGGAUCUCUCAACACUGGGUCCAAGGGUUAACCCAUGCCGAUCAACACAUAUUCCGUUAGGUUGGCAGCUCUAAACGUACUGUCUUGAACCUUUGAUGGGGAAUUAAUAUGUAUCAUGUUUCAGGUUGAGGAUGUAAUGGAUCUCGUCCUCCUCUUCUGAGGAGGAGUAGCGAGAAGGAUCGGAAGACCAAUUUGCAGCGUGGUUGUGUCCAGUCCGGGGGAUGCAUUCACAUGUCUGUGAGGAAGGACGUCAACGUUGCACAGCAGCUGUAACCUGGUUCCAUCUAAG